UCCCAAAAACAUAAAGUUUUGGUCCUAAACUUGCCGUUGUUUUUAAUCAAGAUUAUACAUGCAAGCCUCCACACACCAGUGAGAAUGCCCACACACCCCUAAAAAGCCAACCGGAGCGGGCAUCAGGACUCAACAAAUUUUUAGCCAAAAACGCCUUGCUCGUGCCACACCCACAAGGGUCUUCAGCAGUAAUUAACAUUAAAACAUAAGCGAAAGCUUGACUUAGCUAUGAUUGAUAUGGCCGGUAAAUUUGUGCCAGCCACCGCGGUUAUACGAACGACCAAGAACAACAGCCUGCGGCGUAAAGCGUGACCAGGGGAAAAUUUCACCCUUAAGGGAACAUAACCGCAAGUUGUAAAAUACUACUGCACGUUAGAACAACAACCUCUCGCCCUUAAACCAAAACCCAACCCCCUCACCUCACGAAAGCUAAGAAACAAACUGGGAUUAGAUACCCCACUAUGCUUAGCCCUAAACACAGAUAGUAUAAAUACAACACUAUCCGCCAGAGAACUACAAGCGAAAAGCUUAAAACUCCAAGGACUUGGCGGUGCUUCAAACCAACCUAGAGGAGCCUGUCCUAUAAUCGAUACUCCACGUUUUACCUCACCACCCCUAGCCAACCAGCCUAUAUACCGCCGUCGUCAGCCUACCUUGUGAAAGCAACAAAGUGAGCAAAACAGUUAAUAACUAAAACGUCAGGUCAAGGUGUAGCACACGGGGCGGCAGAGAUGGGCUACAUUUCUCCAAAGAAAAGACACGAAUAGCACAUUGAAAAUUGUGCUUGAAGGUGGAUUUAGUAGUAAAACAAACAAGAAAACCUGUCUAAAACCUGCUCUGAAGCGCGCACACACCGCCCGUCACCCUCAUCG
rnacentral:ncRNA from 1 species